UCAUAUCAUCACCAUGGACCUACAUGC
rnacentral:piRNA from 1 species